GAACAAUCACAAGUUGCAGUUAAACUUUGUUAAUUGUAAUUAAAUUGUAUGUUCUCAAAAGGACAAAAUUUUUUAAAGAAAAUGCUAAUAUUACAAAGCUCAAAGAGAUGCCAAGAUUGCAAUUACAGCAGGUCUCCCAAACAUCAGAACUCCCCACGUCUUGAAUUCAGUCUCUCCCUCUACCUCCCACGCCCCAUUUUGUGCACAAAUUGCAGGAAUAACAUCAAAUUCUUUAAAAA
rnacentral:misc_RNA from 1 species